GUGAACCUGCGGAAGGAUCAUUGUCGAAACCU
rnacentral:rRNA from 1 species